UUUACUGUAAUUUAAUAUAAAAUAUGUGAUUUUGAGCCACACAAUAGAAACAAUCGCCUUGCGCGUUAGCCAGGUGGCGGUAAGU
rnacentral:tRNA from 1 species